rfam:Oryza barthii chromosome 1, whole genome shotgun sequence.
AAAAAAACAAACCCUGAUUUUCGUGUCCAAUAUUUAAUCGUCCGUCUCAUUUGAAAAAAAUAUGAAAAAAUUAAAAAUAUAAGUCACGCAUAAAGUAUUAAUCAUGUUUUAUUAUCUAGCAACAAUAAAAAUAAUAAUUAUAAAAGAAUUUCAUAUAAGACGGACAGUCAAACGUUGACACAGAAAUUAGGGUUUGCCUUUUUU